AUUACAUUCUCUCGGCCUCGAUUUUGGUGUCACAACGUGCUCGAGUCCGAGUGAUUUUAGUGUCUUAUUCUGUGAUUAAUCAUCACUUAUCAUUCUGGAUAGCUUAUGAACGGGCUCACGUCGGUGCUACACAUAAAAAAUAAUGUGGCUACGGUUCACUCUCGUGGUCAGUUCUGGAAACUUUUCUAAAUUGGAGCUUUGACAGUUUUAGAGACCUGCUUCUAUAAAAGGAAGUGUAAUUCGAUGUGAAGGCUCUGUUCUGAACGCUGCAGUACUGAAGAGGCUUGAUGCCAUGAAAGAUCAUUCUUCAUAAUUUCUACUGAGAACUUAUAAAGGCUCGUGUGCCUCGUGCUGACGGAGAUUUGGUUGGCAUCUUGCAACUGAUCUACUUCCAAUAAGUUUCUCUGGACUUUCACUAUACUAUAGGUAGAUCUAUAUACUGUCCCUGAGAGGAUGAUAUUCUAAUGUAACAUUUGGAAAUUUUAGUUGCGUACUUACACAGAAUGCUGCAACUUUAGUUAUAAAUUGCUGUACCAAAAUUUGUUCUUUAUAAACUUUCUUACAAUAAACCAGUAUUACUCGUAUUGCUUAGCAUCGUUUAAGUGUAGUAUUUUAAGUGUCUUUUACAAAGUUUUUUACAAAUACAUUUGAGUGUCUUGGUUCUCAUA